GUCCUUACGUUAUAGGACGGGUCAUUAUAAAUUAUGCCUUUCGAUUAUCGCAACGCCUCGUCGCGUUUGGUUAAGCACAUGGUGGAACAGUAUGCACAUCACUGUACCUAACGUACUGUACACCUGUGAGCGGCAUGACGAGACAAAAGACGGUAAAACUCAUUAUUAAUCGGUGAUGCUGUACAUUCUGGAUGAUGCACAGCCACAUUUUAUAAUACUGUUUUUUAUUUUCGUGUCGCGCCGCUCGCGUUCAAUAUAAAGUUAGACAAUACGCAAUUAAUUACUGGGAGAGUAGUGGUCUAAUGUUAAGAGUCGAACUUCACGAACCUUUCACUCCAGUAAGGCUAAAGUGCUACGUGAAUAAGAUUAGUGUAGUUUUGUGCUACUAGCUGUAAAGUGUUUUUGCACUAUUGAGUUAUAAAUACUGCCCAGUAAUACUUAACUAGAUGUAAAUCACAAUUCUUGUGUCAAUGUUUGUUUGUAAUCUUUUUCAGCUAUCCAUCUGAAAAAGAAAAGCUGGCACUCUCAAAGGAGAUUGUGUUUUUGGAUUAUGGUCUCAUUUGGUCAAAAAGAGGGACAUGUACCGAGCAUUUUUUUUUUUUUUUUUUUUUGAUGGGCCAUCACACAGUGGAUUUAUAAAAAUGAGAUUACAGAACAUCAGACGGUAGCUUCAACAGAGUUGAAGUGGGAGGACAUCAUCAAUUAAGAAUGCCAUUGACCAAACCUUCAGUCAUCAAAGAAGAUGGAUACAGGGGGACAUCCAGUUUUCCAGACUUACCGAUGGGAAAGAAGAAAUGGGAAUGUGACAAUUAUUGAGAAACUCAGGGAAAAAGCAUCUUUAGAGAAGAAAAUGGACAUCAGACAUUUAUUGAAGAAAGCUGACAGUCAACAUAAUGAUGAGAGCUGUGUUAUACAAUGUUAAGGAUACUCGUUCAUCUUCUGCUGUGUGAAUUCUGCUGUGUCAGUCCUGUGGGACUUGAUGCCGGCUGGUAGCAGUGUGACGUCUUUGCUUACUAAAUGAUCAAAGGGUGUCUGAAAUCAGCUCAGCCACAGUUGGUUUUCAACGGUUCUUCAGGACAUGGAGGCCACUACGUAACUGUUGCAAUGAACGAUUAUUUUGCCUUUCCACCUGAUGUUGACAAUCUGACCUGUGCGGUACUGAAAACCACUUGCACUGACAUAUCUUAAAAUAUAUCAGUGUCCUUUGUUUUGCCUCAAAAUGCACACCAGUAAUGUUUUUUGUUGAAACCAGUUAUAUUUCCUAAUUAAACUAAGGCCUAGUCCUGGAUUAAGCUAAUCCACUGUCCGGGAAACCGCCCCUAAAUGUUUUGUGACGGAAAUUUCUUUGAAUACACUUGUCAAGUUCAUUUUAAGUAUUUUUCUAAAUUUAAGAUAACAUGUUAAUGUUUCAGGACAAGUUAAACAUUUUUGAUAAUUUGCAUGUUGGAAACGAUUUCAGACAUUGUUCUAUUCAACAUG